rnacentral:rRNA from 11 species
UUUUAUUGUAGAGUACAUAAUAAAUAUCCAAAAGGCAGCCAUCCCUGUUUUACCUUGGAUACUAAGUAAUGUUAGCCUUGGUUAGUGUUUGGGUGGGAGACUGCCAAGGAAUAUCAGGUGCUAUAAACU